rnacentral:lncRNA from 1 species
AACUCCUGUUCUCUCUCUCUUUCAUCAUCGGCUUCUUCAAUUCUUCCAGGGCAAGGCAAAGGAUAAAUGGAGUUUUUAAGGAAGGCAGAUACUUAUUUUGCUGCUUUCUGUGCUAUUCCUCAUGCUUGCUUUGUGUUUGUGUGCUGUUUUGGGUGUGCCUGGGCACAGCCAGCCCAGGGCAGGAGUGACAACAACCCCCUGCCCCAGCACCGGGUCCGGCUGUUAAAACAUGGGAUGGAACCUCCCUGGGAUUUGUGCCCCACGUGCUCCCUCCUGCUCUGCUGUGGGACUGGGACUGUGGACCUUGGAAAUACAUCAGGAGGGUGA